rnacentral:rRNA from 1 species
AAGGAAUAUUGGUCAAUGGAGGCAACUCUGAACCAGCCAUGCCGCGUGCAGGAAGACUGCCCUAUGGGUUGUAAACUGCUUUUAUCCGGGAAUAAACCUAAAUACGUGUAUUUAGCUGAAUGUACCGGAAGAAUAAGGAUCGGCUAACUCCGUGCCAGCAGCCGCGGUAAUACGGAGGAUCCAAGCGUUAUCCGGAUUUAUUGGGUUUAAAGGGUGCGUAGGCGGCCUGUUAAGUCAGGGGUGAAAGACGGUAGCUCAACUAUCGCAGUGCCCUUGAUACUGAUGGGCUUGAAUGGACUAGAGGUAGGCGGAAUGAGACAAGUAGCGGUGAAAUGCAUAGAUAUGUCUCAGAACACCGAUUGCGAAGGCAGCUUACUAUGGUCUUAUUGACGCUGAGGCACGAAAGCGUGGGGAUCAAAC